UUCAAAUGAGAUAAACGGACUUUUCCUGUGCUUUUGUUGGCCUGUCGGUUAAAGCUCUCACCCCCAACAGCUCCUGCUGCCCCUUUGCCACCUCCUGAGCCAAAGCCGAAGAAACAGACACCAAAAGCAAGGAAGGAACCACCAGUAGUGAAACCUUCAGCCCCUGAGUCUCGACCUGAACCAAGCCGGGAGAUCCGUAACAUCAUCAAAAUGUACCAGAGCAGGCCAGCCCCCGAGCCCCAACCUAUUGAGCCCUCCAGGAGAGUGUCCAAGCCAUUUAUAAAGAGGAAUGACCCCAAAAAUGAGGCUUUGGCCAAGCUGGGGAUGAUGAACCUCAAUUCUCCCAAAUCACCACCCCCGCUGCCUCAAGAGAAGCCCAAAGGGACACCUCCACCCACCAAGCCCAAGCCAGGAUCAGCUUCCAGCUCUAUCAAGGAGAAACAGAUGCCUCUGCUGUCCAUCUUCAGGCAGCCAUCAAGUACCCCACCA
rnacentral:lncRNA from 1 species